rnacentral:lncRNA from 1 species
AUGUUCGCAGUUUACAGGAGACAUAUGAGGCCAAAAGGAACGAGUUCCUAGGGGAACUCCAGAAAAAAGAAGAGGAGAUGAGACAGAUGUUCGUCCAGCGAGUCAAAGAGAAAGAAGCGGAGCUCAAAGAGGCAGAGAAAGAGCUGCACGAGAAGUUUGACCGUCUGAAGAAACUGCACCAGGACGAGAAGAAGAAACUGGAGGAUAAGAAGAAAUCCCUGGAUGAUGAAGUGAAUGCUUUCAAGCAAAGAAAGACGGCGGCUGAGCUGCUCCAGUCCCAGGGCUCCCAGGCUGGAGGCUCACAGACUCUGAAGAGAGACAAAGAGAAGAAAAAGUAAGUAGCAGGCUGCUCUGGGGUGGUGCCUUCUCUUUCCUCCUGCUCAUCCUCCCAGGGCAGGACGUGGCACCUGAAGGGGCUGAGGACUGGUGACCAGAGGUGAGCUGUGGGCUGUCAGACUGGUUGAGGUACCUAUAACUGGUCCCAGCAUCCCUGUGGCACCUUUGGAUUCCCUGAGCUUGGGGAGUUGAGAGUAGCAGAGGGGUGUGGUCCCAGAGGCCCAGCCCAUCUGUCCAGCUUGCUCAGGAAAGCCCUGCAAACUCAAGGUCCAUAGGAAAGGAAGGGAAAAGAGGAAAAGCAAAGGAGAGUGAGAGAGCAGAAGGGAAGAAAAAAAUUAGAGGUGCAGCAAUAUAAGAGAGGAACAAGGCCGGGCACGGUGGCUCACACCUAUAAUCCCAGCACUUUGGGAAGCCAAGGCAGGAGGAACACUUGAGGUCAGGAGUCCAAGACCAGCCUGGCCUAUAUGGCGAAACCCCGUCUCUGCUUAAAAAAAAAAGAA